ACUUAGGAGACAAAAACACCAAAAACUUAUGAAUGAUUUCAUUGGCUCAACUUAACACAAAAGCAAACGAUUGCCCAAAGAAGAAAAUGGAUUUUCUGUGUAUAGUAGGCUUUACUUAGAUAAAUAUACAAUUGAAAGUAUGUUUCAACAUUUGCUAUGAGUAGUUCAAGUCACUAAGGAGCGCGUGUGCUAUGAAAACUUCCGGUUGUAUUUAUAAAGUUAGUGCAUUCAUUAUUCAACAGUCUGUUCACUCCAGCAUGAAGAAGUCGUCUUAAACGAAACCGGAGUUCAGUGUCUGAUAAGAGGAAGGCAGAAAGUUACCCUCAAAGAAGUUCGAAUCCUUGUAUUAGAGCGAUCUAUGUAACCAAGGCUACCAAACACGUG